rnacentral:lncRNA from 1 species
CUGAAAUCCCUCAGGAUUUUGUCAAUGGCACUGUUGGCCAGUCCGUGCUCCUACCUGUCUCCUACAAAUUUAUGAAUCCCUCUCACUUCCCACUGCCAUUUGAAUGGACAUUCCAUAACCGCUCUGAGCCAAUUGCCUCCUGCACGGUGAUGAACUGCUCCCUGAGUGCUGAGGGGGCUCCCAAGAACUGCUCUGAAAACCAUUUCACACAUGCCGCAUACCAAGGUCGUGCUGUGCUUUUCGCUGAGAACGCAUCCCUGCUGCUCCGGGACCUGCAGCUCAGUGACAGCGGGGUGUACAACAUCACCUUCAAACAGCAGCUYCAAACCAGGCAGAUCACCUUAACUGUGUACAACCCUCAUUUCAGCCUUAAAAAUCCAGACCGUAAUGACCCAAAAAAGGAUAUUUCAAGCCAGAUCUCUGCCUACGUAAUUGGAGUUUCUUCUUGUCUAAUGUCCUUCCUUCUGCUACUCCUGGUCUUCUGCUGUGUAAGGCACCUGGGUGCAGUUCAACAGAAGAAAACGAGAAUCAUUAGACAACAAGAGGUCUCAAAUGCUGAGUCGUCUCCCAUGGAAAGUACCAUGAUGAGGGAUGGAGCAACUAUUUAUGCCAGAGUUGGAGACAGCUUUGAACAGCCACAGCCGAGAACAACACCAGAAGUUGUGUACAUGUCCGUAACCUUCUCUGAUCCAUCAGGACCGGAUUGCCCACUGUCGUCUUGUGCAGCGACUGUGGAUCUGCCUCAAGAGGGAGUCUUGAACUUUGCUAAAUAUAGUCCUGUUUCAAAGUGAAGAGGAUAUUUUUGUCACUGACUCUCUCUGCUGAUGUGACCCUCAGUGCUCUUACUCCAGCAGCUCUUAGUCUGCACACUGAGUGCAGGCUGUAGAGGAUUUGGAGCUACCGAGUAUGGAAAUGCCUUAGUUUGCCUCGAUUUGCAGUCUCUCUUGAAUUUGAGGAAUGAGUUGGUUUUAGUUUCUUCUUGAUACUUCCCGAGAGUACAAAGACACACAGCGUAAGAGAAAGAUUCAUAAGGCAAAAGCAGAUCAACAAUUUGGUCCAUGGGAACCUUACUUCCAUAGACUCACCUUAACUGGAGGGGUAACAGACAACAGUAAAUGGAUCUUAAUCAUGUGUCCCAGGUUCACUGCCAACGGUCUUGUCAUAUUAAAAGAAUAGAUGAAGAUUAUUUGGACUGAAAAGUUGUCCUUAUUUUUUGGAGCGUUCCAAGUAAUUGUGGUGUGUAUUCUUCCUGCAAUGAGAUUAGCUUAACCUUAGGAUCCCAG